rnacentral:misc_RNA from 1 species
UGUUCGAGCGUCAUUAAUACCAAUCUAGCCCGGCUAGGUGUUGGGCCUCGCCGUCUGGCGGGCCUUAAAAUCAGUGGCGGUGCUCCUCAGCUCUACGCGUAGUAAUUAUUCUCGCUACAGGGCCUGUGGAGAUGCUUGCCAGCAACCCCAAAUUUUUUCAGGUUGACCUCGGAUCAGGUAGGGAUACCCGCUGAACUUAA